AUGCCAAUUUUAACUCUUGGCCUAGUUGUAGUUCCUUGGGUUGUCAAAACUGCUGGUCGCGUCAUUAGAACUGGAUUGGAGCGCAUUCCCCGCAGUUCUCCCAGCGUUAACCCAGAACCCGUGCUACUAGAGUCACCUGUAGAGGUCGACCUAGCACCACUGGCACAGUCACAUUUUAAUGACAGAAGCUUCGAUCUGAGCAGGCAGUGGAACUACAAUGACUGCCGCUCUGAAGACUUGCAUUGUCUGGAUAAUGAAACCGAACAAAAGAAAGAAGAGGAAGAGCAGAGCACCUCUUCAGGCAAUCCUUCUAUAAUUCACAGGAGUCAUUCUGGUGGCGAGAGAGUUCACCUUCCUUCUCUCUCCCUCUGCCCUGAUAUCUCAGACCCAGUAGUUGAUGUAGAGACAUCACAGCCUGCUGACAUAGAGUCAGGUGGAAAUUCAGCAUUUUCUUUGGUAGCUGUUUCUUCCAAGACCAAAGCACACAUGUUAGCAGUAAUCGGCAGGCUCAGAGAAAUGGGGUACUUUGCCAUUUCUCAAACAAGAGUUGUGGCUUUGUUUUCCAUGGCUCGAGCAACAAUUGUUACUUUUUUCACGGUGGCUCAAGCAAGAGUUGCUGCUGGUUUUUCCAGCAUCAGAACUGCUGUUUGCUGCAUUUUUCAGCGUAUUUUCCGCAGAUCACACACCGUUAACCCAAAACCGGCGCUACUUGAGUCACCUGUAGAGGUAGAGCGAGCACCACCGGCACAAACACAGUUAAUAGGCAAUCGCUCUUUAAUUAACAGGAAUCACACAGGGUCAGAUAGACAUUCUUCUUCUUUGGUAGCUGCCCUUUCCACGGUGGCUCAAGCAAUAAUUGCUGAUGUUUUUUCCAGAAUUAGAAAUUUUGUUUGCAUCAUUGAUAUUGAAAUUGAAUUUGAGCCUAUUCCCCCCCGUUUACCCACAGUUAACCCACAACUGGUGCUACAUGAGUCACCUGUAGAGGUAGACGGAGCACCAGUGGCACAGACACAAUUAAUAGGCAAUCGCUCUUUAGUUAACAGGAAUCACACAGGGUCAGAUGGAAAUCCAUUUUCUUUGGCAGCUGCUUCUUCCACGGUGGCUCAAGCAAGAAAUGAUGAUGGUUUUUCCAGAAUCAAAAAGUUUGUUUGCAACAUUCAAUUUGGGCGCGUUCCCCCCCGUUUACCCACAGUUAACCCAGAACUGGUGCUACGUGAGUUACCCAUAGAGGUAGACCUAGCACCACUGGCACAGACACAGUUGAUAGGCAAUCGCUCUUUAAUUAACAGGAAUCACACAGGGUCGGAUGGAAAUCCAUUUUCUUUGGCAGCUGCUUCUUCCAUGGUGGCUCAAGCAAGAAAUGCUGCUGGUAUUUCCAGAAUCAGAAAUGUUUGCAUCAUUGAUAUGGAAUUUGGGCGCGUUCCCCCAAGUUCAGCCAGAGUUAACCCCGGACCGGUGCUACAUGAGUUAUCUAUAGAGGUAGAAGUAGCACCACUGGCACAGACACAGUUAAUAGGCAAUCGCUCUUUAAUUAACAGGAAUCACACAGGGUCAGAUGGAAAUUCAUUUUCUUUGGCAGCUGCUUCUUACACUAUGGCUCAAGCAAGAAAUGCUGCUGGUUUUUCCAGAAUCAGAAAUGUUCGCAUCAUUGAUAUGGAAUUUGGGCGCGUUCCCCCCAGUUCAGCCAGAGUUAACCCUGGACCGGUGCUACAUGAGUUACCUGUAGAGGUAGACGUAGCACCACUGGCACAGACACAAUUAAUAGGCAAUCCCUCUUUAAUUCACAGGAGUCAUUCUGGCGGUGAGAGAGUUCAGCCUUCUCCUAACUCCCUCUAUCUGUGCCCUGAUAUCUCAAACCCAGUAAGUGACCCAGAGACAUCACAGCCUGCUGGCACAGAGUCACUCUCUCUCGCACGGACCAGUGCUCCUCACCACUUUACCAGACAGCUCACACGCAACCUGCGAAUGUUAUCCGGAUCUGCUGAAAAAAAAAAAAAACGGCAAGCAAACAAAAACUCAAAAGGCCAAAUCCAGGAAGAAAACACUCCACAAUCAUUCUGA
rnacentral:lncRNA from 15 species